rnacentral:rRNA from 1 species
ACGCACGCUGGCGGCGUGCUUCACCCCUGCAAGUCGCACGGAAAGGCCCUGCUUGCCGGGUACUCGAGUGGCGAACGGGUGAGUAACACGUGGGUGAUCUGCCCUGCACUUCGGGAUAAGCUUGGGAAACUGGGUCUAAUACCGGAUAGGAGCCAUCUUUAGUGUGGUGGUUGGAAAGUUUUUUCGGUGUAGGAUGAGCUCGCGGCCUAUCAGCUUGUUGGUGGGGUAAUGGCCUACCAAGGCGGCGACGGGUAGCCGGCCUGAGAGGGUGUACGGCCACAUUGGGACUGAGAUACGGCCCAGACUCCUACGGGAGGCAGCAGUGGGGAAUAUUGCACAAUGGGCGCAAGCCUGAUGCAGCGACGCCGCGUGGGGGAUGAAGGCCUUCGGGUUGUAAACUCCUUUCGCUAGGGACGAAGCUUUUUUGUGACGGUACCUAGAUAAGAAGCACCGGCUAACUACGUG